rnacentral:rRNA from 1 species
UACGGAGGAUCCGAGCGUUAUCCGGAUUUAUUGGGUUUAAAGGGUGCGUAGGCGGCCUGGUAAGUCAGGGGUGAAAGACGGUAGCUUAACUAUCGCAGUGCCCUUGGUACUGCUGGGCUUGAAUGUAGUUGAGGUAGGCGGAAUGUGACAAGUAGCGGUGAAAUGCAUAGAUAUGUCACAGAACACCAACUUGCGAAGGCAGCUUACUAAAGUAUGAUUGACGCUGAGGCACGAAAGCGUGGGGAUCAAACGG